AAUGAUGUCUAAGAUGCCACGAGGCUUGCACCCGUACAACAAUUCAAAUGGGGAAAACACUGUGGAGGCUUG